rnacentral:rRNA from 1 species
AUUGAACGCUGGCGGCAGGCCUAACACAUGCAAGUCGAGCGAGCGGUGGACGGGUGAGUAAUGUAUGGGGACUGCCCGAUAGAGGGGGAUCACUCCUGGUAACGGUGGCUAAUACCGCAUAAUAUCGGAUUACCCAUAUCGGAUUAGCUAGUAGGUGGGGUAAAGGCUCACCUAGGCGACGAUCUCUAGCUGGUCUGAGAGGUUGAUCAGCAAAGCUGGGACUGAGACACGGCCCAGACGCCUACGGAGGCAGCAGUGGGGAAUAUUGCACAAUGGGCGCAAGCCUGAUGCAGCCAUGCCGCGUGUAUGAAGAAGGCCGUAGGGUUGUAAAGUACUGUCAGCGGGGAGGCGUUACCCGAAGAAGAAGCACCGGCUAACUCCGUGCCAGCAGCCGCGGUAAUUC